CAGAUGUGAAAGCCCGGGGCUCAACCUCGGAACUGCAUUUGAAACUGGCAGACUAGAGUACUGUAGAGGGGGUAGAAUUUCAGGUGUAGCGGUGAAAUGCGUAGAGAUCUGAAGGAAUACCGGUGGCGAAGGCGGCCCCCUGGACAGAUACUGACACUCAGAUGCGAAAGCGUGGGGAGCAAACAGGAUUAGAUACCCUGGUAG
rnacentral:rRNA from 1 species